rnacentral:rRNA from 1 species
UGGGGAAUAUUGCGCAAUGGGGGGAACCCUGACGCAGCAACGCCGCGUGAGUGAAGAAGGCCUUCGGGUCGUAAAACUCUGUCUUUGGGGACGAAAGAAAUGACGGUACCCAAGGAGGAAGCCCCGGCUAACUACGUGCCAGCAGCCGCGGUAAUACGUAGGGGGCGAGCGUUGUCCGGAAUUACUGGGCGUAAAGGGUGCGUAGGCGGCCUAUUAAGUCAGAUGUGAAAUACCACGGCUCAACCGUGGGGUUGCAUAUGAAACUGGAAGGCUUGAGUGCAGGAGAGGAAAGUGGAAUUCCUAGUGUAGCGGUGGAAUGCGUAGAGAUUAGGAGGAACACCAGUGGCGAAGGCGGCUUUCUGGACUGUAACUGACGCUGAGGCACGAAAGCGUGGGGAGCGAACAGGAUUAGAUACCCCCGUAGUCC